UCUCAUCGGUGAGGAGAAACUGCACUCGCACACCGAGACCGUCUGCGGGACAACUACGUCUGCCCCAAGUGAAGUACUCCGGAGACUCGUGCCUCGGUGGAGCGACCACCGACAAGCAAAACAGACUAGUGAGUAUGAUCCAAUCCUCUCAAGAGGAUACCCUGUCUACUAGGGUCAAUGUGCCUCUGCUGCACAGUCAUGAUAUAUAAUCAAUGUUGGGACCUCUACUAUCCCUAGGUUCAUGUCAAGUUUACUACAUUAGACUCAAUGCCACUCGUUCGAUCAU
rnacentral:lncRNA from 1 species